ACUCUGCAUAUUCAAUCCUAUAGACACCCUUUUAAUUCUUCAUCACAGACGUAACUCGAUUUUAUAAAAUAGUCAAGAGUAAUCACACCCACUUCAUUAAAAUCCCGAUUCACCAAUACAACACUGACUUCAGCAACGAUUGCCUCAGUCUUCCCAAAAUCCUAUGAAGAAAAAAAACCAAUUCUCUGUCUUUUUUCUCCGCUCUGAAGCAUGAAGCUAGCUCAUCGACCCUUCUCCUCCAAAACCUUAUUCUCUCCUCCU
rnacentral:lncRNA from 1 species